rnacentral:RNase_P_RNA from 1 species
GCAGGACAGAUGAUCGCUGCUGCGUAUGCAGGAGAGGAAAGUCCGGGCUUCAUAGGGCAAGGAUGCCGGAUAACGUCCGGCUGAGGUGACUCACGGGAUAGCGCAACAGAGAUAUACCGCCGGCUUCGGCCGGUAAGGGUGAAAAGGCGGUGUAAGAGACCACCGUUUGUCUGGUAACAGCCAAAGCCAUGCAAGCCCCAUCCGAAGCAAGUUCAAGACGGAACGUACGUGGCCCGCCAGUUCCAGGUUGAACGCUUGAGGCGAUCGGUAACGGUCGUCCUAGAAAGAUGAUCAUCCAACGACAUAACCCGGCUUAUCGUUCGGCUUU